AAGUCGUAACAAGGUCUCCGUAGGUGAACCUGCGGAAGGAUCAUUAUCGAGUUUUGACUGGGUUGUAGCUGGCCUCCCGAGGCAUGUGCACGCCCUGCUCAUCCACUCUACACCUGUGCACUUACUGUGGGCUUCAGACGUCGUGAAGCGGGCUCUUUACGGAGCUUGUAGAGCGUGUCUGUGCCUGCGUUUACCACAAACUCUAUAAAGUAUUAGAAUGUGUAUUGCGAUGUAACGCAUCUAUGUACAACUUUCAGCAACGGAUCUCUUGGCUCUC
rnacentral:misc_RNA from 1 species